CAGGAUGAAGUUUAGUGGUAGAGCACUUGCCUAGCAUGCAAGAGGUCCUGGGUUCAAUCCCCUAUACUGC
rnacentral:tRNA from 1 species